CGGGGCGGCAGCGGCGAGCGCAGCCCCCGCACCUCUUCCCUCCGCGGUCCCCGCUCCAUCUGGAAGGACGUGGCUGUUAUAUGAAGACCCUGUGUGGACAGUAAUGACCGCACGUUUCCGAUUGCCUGCUGGCAGAACCUACAAUGUACGAGCAUCUGAGCUGGCACGAGACAGGCAGCAUACGGAGGUGGUCUGCAACAUUCUUCUCCUGGAUAACACUGUACAAGCUUUCAGAGUUAAUAAACAUGAUCAGGGACAAGUUCUGUUGGAUGUAGUCUUCAAGCAUCUCGAUUUGACAGAGAGAGAUUACUUUGGUUUACAGUUGGCUGAUGAAUCUGCUGAUAACCCUAGGUGGCUGGAUCCAAACAAACCUAUCAGAAAACAAUUAAAAAGAGGAUCUCCUCACAGUUUGAACUUCAGAGUUAAGUUUUUUGUAAGUGACCCAAACAAGCUCCAAGAAGAAUAUACAAGGUACCAGUAUUUUUUGCAAAUUAAACAGGACAUUCUUGCUGGAAGAUUGCCGUGUCCUUACAAUACUGCUGCUCUUCUGGCUUCCUAUGCUGUUCAGUCUGAGCUGGGAGACUACAACCGUUCAGAAAGCUUGCCAGGCUACCUCUCAGACUAUUCUUUCAUCCCUAGCCAGCCUCAAGACUUUGAAAAAGAAAUAGCAAAAUUACAUCAGCAGCACAUAGGAUUGUCUCCUGCAGAAGCAGAGUUCAGUUAUCUCAAUACAGCACGUACCUUAGAACUUUAUGGAGUUGAAUUGCACUAUGCUAGGGAUCAGAGUAACAAUGAAAUAAUGAUUGGAGUGAUGUCAGGUGGAAUACUAAUUUUUAAGAACAGAGUACGAAUUAACACUUUUCAGUGGUUGAAGAUUGUAAAAAUUUCUUUUAAGUGCAAGCAGUUUUUUAUUCAACUUAGGAAAGAAUUGCAUGAAUCUAGAGAAACGUUACUGGGAUUCAAUAUGGUGAAUUACCGUGCAUGUAAGAAUUUGUGGAAAGCUUGUGUGGAGCAUCACACAUUCUUCCGUUUGGACAGACCGCUCCCCCCUCAGAAGAACUUUUUUGCACAUUAUUUCACCUUGGGUUCCAAGUUCCGGUACUGUGGGAGAACAGAGGUCCAGUCUGUGCAGUAUGGUAAAGAAAGAGCAAACAAAGAUAGGGUAUUUGCAAGAUCACCCAGUAAACCCUUGGCACGGAAAUUAAUGAGUGGGAUGGACUGGGAAGUAGUGAGUAGGAAUUCACUGUCUGAUGAUAGGUUGGAAACACAAAGCCUGCCAUCACGGUCUCCACCUGGAACCCCAAAUCAUCGAAACUCUGCCUUCACUCAAGAAGGAGCACGGUUACGACCCUCAUCAGUUGGACAUUUAGUGGACCAUGUAGUUCACACAUCCCCAAGUGAAGUAUUUGUAAAUCACAGAUCUCCGUCUUCCACCCAGGCUAAUAGCAUCAUACUGGAAUCAUCACCAUCUCAAGAAACUCCUAUAGAUGGGCAGCCUCCUGCAUUACCACCCAAACAAUUUAAAAAGAACAGUUGGAACCAAAUUCAUCAUUCGCACUCACAGCAAGAACUGGAUAACCAUAUUAAUGAAACAUUUGAUGUUCCUGCAUCACCAGAAAAAUCCACACCCAAUGGUGGUGUCCCUCAUGACAAUCUUGUUAUGAUCAGAAUGAAACCAGAUGAAAAUGGAAGGUUUGGCUUCAAUGUAAAGGGUGGAUAUGAUCAGAAGAUGCCAGUAAUAGUGUCCAGGGUAGCUCCAGGAACACCUGCUGAUCUCUGUGUCCCUCGUCUGAAUGAAGGGGAUCAGGUUGUACUGAUUAACGGCAGGGAUAUAGCAGAACAUACCCAUGACCAAGUUGUUAUGUUUAUUAAAGCUAGCUGUGAGAGACACUCAGGGGAACUUGUGCUCCUAGUUCGACCCAAUGCUGUCUAUGAUGUUGUGGAAGAGAAGCUGGAGAGUGAGCCUGACUUCCAGUACAUCCCUGAGAAAUCUCCACUUGAUGGUGUCCAUCAGGAUGAUAAUGCUCUGAGAGAAUCCAUGAUUCAGCUAGCAGAGGGGCUUAUCACUGGAACUGUUUUGGCUCAGUUUGAUCAAUUGUAUAGGAAAAAGCCUGGAAUGACAAUGUCUUGUGCCAGAUUACCUCAAAACAUUUCCAAAAAUAGAUACAGAGACAUUUCGCCUUAUGAUGCUACACGGGUUAUUUUAAAAAGUAAUGAAGAUUACAUCAAUGCAAAUUACAUAAAUAUGGAAAUCCCUUCUUCCACAAUAAUAAACCAGUACAUUGCUUGUCAAGGUCCAUUACCAAACACUUGUCCUGACUUUUGGCAGAUGACUUGGGAACAAGGCUCAUCUAUGGUUGUAAUGUUAACGACUCAAGUUGAACGGGGCAGAGCAGACUCCCUGCUCUAAAGCUGAUCAUGAGGCUACUGACAUCACUAGCCCACUGCAUGCCGGGAUGUCUCAGUGGAGCAGGAAGUCUGCAAAUCUGGCUGCUCUUAAAGAAUUGCCAGGUUAAAUGCCACCAGUACUGGCCAGAGCCAUCAGGAAGCUCAUCAUAUGGGAAUUUCCAGAUUACUUGCCAUUCAGAAGAAGGAAAUCCUGCUUAUGUUUUCCGAGAAAUGACACUGACUAAUCUGGAGAAAGAGGAAAGCCGCCAACUAACCCAAAUCCAGUAUAUAGCAUGGCCUGAUCAUGGGGUUCCUGAUGAUUCUAGCGAUUUCCUAGAUUUUGUGUGUCUUGUGCGAAAGAAGAGGGCUGGCAGAGAAGAACCUGUUGUUGUUCAUUGCAGUGCUGGGAUUGGACGGACUGGAGUUCUUAUCACUAUGGAGACAGCUAUGUGUCUUAUUGAGUGCAAUCAGCCUGUUUAUCCAUUAGAUAUUGUAAGAACCAUGAGAGAUCAAAGAGCCAUGAUGAUCCAAACACCUAGUCAAUACAGAUUUGUAUGUGAAGCUAUUUUGAAGGUGUAUGAAGAAGGAUUUAUUAAACCUUUACAAACAUCACUGCAUAAGUAAAGAGCAAAAAAUGCCCAGGAUAUCAACUGAGGAAUCCUGUCCUCUAUAAUGUACUGGCAGCAUUCUUUGUGCCAUAAUACUGCUUGCAGGAAAUGAUAGUGAAGUACAGCAAAGAAUUGACAAAGGACUUUGAAAACUUCAGCACUGUUGCACUUUAUGUUGAAACAAAAUCAGUCUCUGAAACUCUUCUAACCUUCAUCUGUUUGAAGACUUUUAUUUUCGUGCUUUGCUCCGAACAAACCAUAAACUGAAAGAACUAAUUGUGUUCAGGGUAAUCUACGAUAUUUCGUUGUAGUGCCAUAUACUGCGCUUCUGAUUGAAUUGCUACAAACAAGGCUUGGAAUUAUUUCACUCUGUUUUACACCCAUGUCUCUUAAAAUGAAAAAGAAACAAAAAAACACACUAAGCCAUGGUCUUUUUCCAGUGCUAGGUUUAUUUACUAUGUACAGACUCUCACUGUUUUGUUUUUUACAACAUUAGCAAUAUUGCUGUUACUAGAUAGAUACACACUGCCUACUGAUGCAGCACACUUUGUCCUACACCCUUACUAGAGACCAGCUGGUUGUUAGAGGAGAGCUGGCGUCUGUGUUAACCCAGCAGUAGCUGCAUAAUGCCCACUUACCAGCAUCUUGUACAAAAUAAUAACAAUAAAAAUAUAAAAAAAUAAACAGCAUUUCUUUGACACAGCUUGUGUGUCAUACACUGGUGUAUUCUGAUUCGUGUGACUUAAGAUUACAUGAUGGGAACUAAUGCAUGCAUUAUGUCUUAACCCCUUAAGUGCCUUGAGACUUACAGUGUACAUCCAGUGAAAGGCACUAAUGAUUCUGUGGGGGUGGUAUUGUCCUGUCAUAUUUAUCUUAAUGGGUUCACAUAUUAAAAAAGGCCCUUGGUGCUUGGACUAUGUUACCACAAGGGGUCAUGGAAAUACCAUUCCCUCUUUCUUUAUACAAGUACCUGCGUGCUGCUUUCGGUAGCGAAAGCUCCUUUGCCAACUUAAUGAAUGAGCAUUGUAUGCUGCUGUGCUGUAAUUAUGUGAAAAAUCUGACACAUUCCUUCAGCCCUUCCAACUAGUAACUUACUAGCAGCUUACAAUGAAAUGCUGGUAGGGUCAUUAGGAGCUGAUACUUCCAUUUAUCCUUUUAUUGGGAAUAGCUGUCUUACUCGAUUAGAACAUAACUUUUUAAUAGCACUGAUAAUUAAGUUGAGCUUACAAUCAGAUGUUAUUUAAUUCCAUUAUCUGCUAACCAAUUACUUGUUAAGUCCUCAUAGUUGAUUUCAAGCCAUGUUCGUACAGGUCUGCCUUUUAUUUUAUUUUAUUUUAUUUUUUAAUUGCUUGGCUGGGGGGAAGGGAGGAGAACACUAUGAAGUUGUCCCAGAACUUUAUUUUAAUUCCAUAAUGACCCCAGUCGCCUUCUGUUAUGCUUGUACAAAAUUGUUCCAGUUGAAUAUGGGUUGCUUCUUAUUUAAGUAGCUAGCAGAUUUGUAAGAAAUGUCUGAUACAGUAUCUGAGCUCAUUCUAAAGAUACAUAAAUGUCCCACUUUUAAUAUUUUUUCAGUGUAGGAGAAACCAAGUCAGAAGCCAGGUAUCCGGUGUAAUAUACUGUAAGAAAAAAAUCAGUCACUUUGACUGCCCUGUGACAACAUAACUGUGUGUCCUCUAUUUAAAAGUUCUAAUUUAUUGUAUUGGUUUCCUGAAAAUGUUUACCCAAUAAAUUUUGUUAUAAACUAUAUAGAGCAUAGAAUUAAAAUGGAAAGUUCUACACUAAAUAAUUUUUAACUAUUGAAGUAUUAUAUUAUAUAAUAUACUGUGUUCUAUGGACAUUUGAAACAGAUCAGCUAUGAACUAUUAAUGAAAGGGGAUUCAGGCAAAGUGAAAUCCUAGCUUAGGACUUAGUAAUAAACAUGAACCACAAUGCCAAAUGGAAGAUAGAGUUUUAAAUAUUUUUAGAAAGCAAAAUAAUAUUAAAUGGCCUGUGGCCCUGUUACUUGUAUUUCUAGAUUUGAUGUUUAAAUCAAUAUUAUCCCUCAGUGAAAAACUAAUCUUACAAGAAUCUUCUGAUAAACUGAAAAAGAGUAAUAAGGUAGCUUUAAUCUUGGUUUUAUUUUAAGCCAUUUGCGACAAAAGAAAACUCCUCUUUAGAAUUUUUUAACUUCCAUGUGACAAGAUUAUUAGCUGAGAUGCUGGUUAGUUGGAAGGUUAUUUUAAAUUGAGCACUUAACAUCUAAAAAUUAAAAUAAUUCAUCCAUUAUAUUGAAAUAAAUUUUCUUCAUAGUCAAGUUCUAAAUGAAAAUAGCAUUUGCCCAUGUAUUCUAAGGGAAAUCAGACAUGGGAGUUUAUAUCAACAUUAUAUAGUGUUGGUAUGUCACGUAAAUAUUCCUGUGUAAAGUUGCCAAAGCAGUUUUGAGUUCAAAAGACCCAUUUAUACCACAAUUAAGUGUGGAAUAUUUAUUGGUUGUCUGUCAUUACUGUUUUGAUUACAAACACAGGCAAGAAUAAUAACUCUCUUCAAAAUUUUUCUCUGCACUGGCUUAGGUGGAUUUGUAGUGUAUUAAAUAGUUGCACUGGGGAAAAAACAGAACAAAGUAACUAUUUUUAGAUAAUUGUCCAUCAGCAACUCAGUGGCUUUUCGGCUUCUCCAAAGGCAGGAUAGUAGUAACCAAAAUAUUGAUUGGGAAAGGGAAUAGUGCCGAAGCCUUUCUGCACCAUAAAACUUCUGUUCAUAUGUUUCUGCCUCUUGUGGUAUAAAUGGCCUUUAAAAUAUUUUUAUAUGGCCAAAAAAAAGCAAAACUGCUAAAUAUUUUACAUUGGGUUAUGAAGAUCUGUAUCAUCCUUAAGAGUUUUUAAAGAAGUGUUUUUGUAUGUUUCAUGCUGUACAAAACAUGAAUGUAUCUUUCAGACAUAAUGACUUAUAGACCUAUAUGUGAUUGGUGUUAUGACUGUUGGAUUUUAUGAAUAAUUAUUUUCAUACCAUUUGAUUAGGAAAAAUGUUGGGUGGGUGUGGGAAAGAGUAUGUUUGUAACACUUCCAUGAUGCAAAUCCAGUUUAAGAAAAACAAAAAAAACCCAUUGUAAAUAAGAGCAAUAUUAUGACAAUUUUGUGCCAAUGUAUAAUGUUAAGACUUUUGUUUUCCUUUUAGGCUGGGAUUGAAAGCUACCACUACCAUCUCUUGUUUAAAGUGUUUUUGAAGGUUUUGGGGUUUUUUUUGUAGAAAUACCUGGGGCUCUAGUGGGGACUUUAAGUGUUCAGGGGCCUUUUUUCUUUCUUUGCUAAAUAUGAAAUAAGGUGCAGGUAUUGUUUAAUAAACCACCUACAGAUUGUCAGCCAAUCCACUUUGAGAAAUACUGCUUUAGAUACUCCAGGUAACUGAGAGCUGAAGAAUUCACCAUGAAUUGGGAAGCAUUUGGGGUUUUAAAUAACUUACAAGUCUUAAGCAGUAAAAAAACUGCUGUUAUGCAUUUGAUUUUUAUGUAUUCUCUCCCAGUUAAUGAAAAAGCCUGAUUUUUUUUUCUCACUACAUUUAAUGCUAGCUGAUGUGUCUUCCAUGUUCCUCUGUUAAGACUUGAAAGCUUAUGUCCCAUAUAGGUAAAGCAAUAAUACUACUUCUAGAAUAUCUGAUUACAGUCUGGCACACCAUCUAUUAGAGAAAGCAGUUGGGAGAUUAAGGAACAUGAGAGUUAUGGAACCUGUGUAGCUGGCAACUUUCCAUGAAGGCCUUCCAGAAAGCUUUGUGGUACCUGUUGAAGGGCUAAAAUGCAGCAGACAUGCUGCAGUUGCACUGCCCAGGGCAACGGGAAGUAGGGAAGGUCUGGCAUAGAUAUGAUGGAGCUCUAUGUAUGCAGUGGAGCUGAAUUAUGUGGUAUUUUUAUGCUUCUGCAGUGUGCAUGCAGGUAUGUGGGUGAUGUUUGAUGGCUCAGGGAAUUGGCACAAGCAUGAAAAACUGUACAGAUCCAGCAAUUUCCAAAUAAAAGCAGGUCUUCCAAUAUGUGUGCUAAAGUUUUGACUAUAGAGCCACUAUGAGAUCAAUCUUAAGACCCUCAGCCCUAAGGAUAAAGGAAGGGAUUGAGUUACAGGUCAAAGUAAAAUUUUGCACAUUUAGACUUCCACAAAGUACAGGAAUGGUGCCCUCUAAUGUCAGCUGUAGUCUUUUUGUAGCUCUCAUUUCAGGCCCCAGGUUGGCUGGGUGCAUUUGCUCAUUUAAGUACCCACCUUUUGCUUAUUGUGUUGAGACUGGAAAAGUUCUUUUCCAUUGCUAUUCAGCGCUGGGAUCCAGUAUCAAAGUCUGGUAAAAACAAACUCAUUGCUUAGAUGUGAGCCUUGCAUGAAAUUAGAGGGAUUAUGAUUAGGGGUGAUUGGGAAGCUGUUACAAGGGGAGAAUGGUUUGUUUCAGUGUAACUGUUCUAUCCAGUCUCUUAUCCCACUGCAGUUAUCAAUUGAAACUGAUAAUUUGUUUGGGGGUUUUUGUUUGUUCAGCAGUCUACAGAGGAGGCCAGUUUGUUAUCACUGGAUUGUACCUCUGUGCUAGUUGGUACCAGUAACGUGCAUCUUCUCGCUUCUCCAACUACAAGUUUUAACUGAUGCAUUAGUUGUAAGCUCUGGCUGUUGGCUGAGGCACAUUUUGCUCUUUGAGAGCUCAGGGGUGAGAAUUUGAGAUAAAUCACUUUAAAAACAUGCUGAAAUUUCCAGUUAAAAAGAUUUUGACUUUUUGAUUUCUUCAAAACUGUAGCCUCAUUUUAAAACAAACAAACAAACAAUAAAACCAAACCACCACUGAGGUAUCUAUCAUUCUAGUCUGCUGUAGCAUGAACUAUGGUUUCACAGGCUGGCUGACAGUUUGUUGGUUGUGUUAUUUCAUAUUUAGCAAGCUUACACUUUUUAAAGGGCAAUUUUUUUCAAAGUGUUUUGAUGUUUGAAUAGUAGCACUUUAUCUCAUGCUUACUACUGACUGAACUAUUGGACAAAAUAAAUUGGGUUUGGAGGGAGAUGCUUAAUGGGUUUCUGUACAGAGAUGAUUCGGAUUACACUCUGCUACAAAUGUUUUCUGUUGUUUGAACCAUUUCUGGUUUGUUGCUCCUGCAUUUCUGAGGGACUCUCGGAAAAUAGAUAUUAAUAUUUCUAUCAUGUCAAUUUUCCUGUCUUAAAAAGAAUCUAAAGCUUGCAUCUGGGGGAAAAAAUGGUGCAAAUAAAAAUGACAGGGUACUUGUAAAUGUAUCUCUGAUCUCUCUCAGCUAGCUGCAGAUUAGCUGUGUUUACUGUAAAGGUUUCUGCUAAGCUUUAUUUCUAACAUUAGAUCACCUGGAAAUCAGUAUUUUCUUUUUCUUAACUUAUUUGAAUUUUUAUAACUAAAGAUAAUGCACAGCAAAGUUUAAAGAAGUUGUCACCCUUUUGCUCCUAGGCCAGGGGCCUAGGACAUGAGUGAAAGGGUUAAACAGUUUACAUUAAGCUGUUGUUUUCUUUAACUAAAAUAUAUCCACAAAGACGAGGCUAUAAAUCAUCCAGUGCAAUUAUCUCGAUACAUUGGGGCACCACAGUAUCAACCCAUAAUAAUCUUACAGGAAAAUGAAGGUAGGAAAACAAAAGUUUUACUUUAUCCAAUGUAGCUGGAUUUGUUUUCCAUUUGCUUUGGUUCAUUUACCAGUGAUGCCAUUUUAACCCAUCAAUUUGGCAGGGCUGUUUGUGUAAGUUUUGGGGUUUUUCCUGUACCAGGUGCUAUACUAUAUGUAAAUACAAAGGGAAGACUAUUAUUUAGAUCAUAUUAGCAAUCAGAUAGUGGCAAUAUUUUUUGCUAGUUACUUCUGAUAAUUAAUUUGCAUUUCCAGGUGUGGCUUUCAGUUGCCAAAUUUCAUCUCAUUUCAUACUGCUGAAUGAUGGACUGCAAGUGUGAUCAUCUCAGAGUUGAAUAGCUCUUUCGUUGUUUAGACUAACUCUUGUGUAUCUUUAUUAAUGUUGGGGGUGGGAAGGUUCUUCCUAUAAGUAGACUUUUGCCUAUAAAUUUGUUUAAAAGCACAUGAGGGGGAGGAAAAAGAACAAACCUAAAUGCAACAUCUUGGCUAAAUAGCCAGGGUGGUUGAUCAAAAAUGAUGGAAACUUGAAAUUGGUCAACACUGGACAAUAUGAAAAUAAAUUCAUCUUUUGUCACUGCAGCUACUGUAUGCUUUAAAGGGCCUUAUGUAUUUGUCUUCAUUUUGAUAAAAUGAAAUAUCUUGCCAUUAAAAUGAUACACUAACUUCUACCGAAAACCAGCAGUUCCCAGGAUAAAUAUGCUAAUUAACAUUUAACAAGUCUUGUUUUAGUCUUAAGAAAAAUUUCAUUCUAUUAUGUGAAAAAAUGCUGUUAUGCAUAUUUUGUGGAUAUAUUUAAUUUCAGUUGACAGAUAGUUGUCUAGGUACAGACUUGAAAAUAUAUAUAUAGUUUACUUGUGGAUAUUAAUUGUUUAAUUGCAAAAUAAAGAUGUGCUUUAGUAAUUUAAA